rfam:Theobroma cacao cultivar Matina 1-6 chromosome 5, whole genome shotgun sequence.
GGGUGCGAUCAUACCAGCACUAAUGCACCGGAUCCCAUCAGAACUCCGCAGUUAAGUUAAGCGUGCUUGGGCGAGAGUAGUACUAGGAUGGGUGACCUCCUGGGAAGUCCUCGUGUUGCACCCC